GCCUUCGUUGUGUAGUGGUCAGCACGAUCGGCCCGUAUUCGAGAGGUUUGUGAUUCGAGUCCCGUCGAGGGCA
rnacentral:tRNA from 1 species